UACGAAGGGGGCUAGCGUUGCCCGGAAUCACUGGGCGUAAAGCGCACGUAGGCGGCUUUCUAAGUCAGGGGUGAAAUCCUGGAGCUCAACUCCAGAACUGCCUUUGAUACUGGGAAGCUCGAGUCCGGAAGAGGUAAGUGGAACUCCGAGUGUAGAGGUGAAAUUCGUAGAUAUUCGGAAGAACACCGGUGGCGAAGGCGGCUCACUGGCCCGUUACUGACGCUCAGGCGCGACAGCGUGGGGAUCAAACAGG
rnacentral:rRNA from 1 species